GUUGGUGUAGCUCAGUGGUAGAGUUCAUGCUUUGUAUGUAUGAUGUCUUGGGUUCAAUUCAACGAGAAUU
rnacentral:tRNA from 1 species